UGGACAGGGGGGUUCCCGCUCUCACCGAACGGGGCCUGUCCGAAAACAGGCCGCGUGACAAGGCGCGGCCGUGGUUGUCGCUCGGGGGUGAUCGCCG
rnacentral:sRNA from 24 species